AGUCGAGCGGAGAGAGGUAGCUUGCUACUGAUCUUAGCGGCGGACGGGUGAGUAAUGCUUAGGAAUCUGCCUAUUAGUGGGGGGCAACAUUUCGAAAGGAAUGCUAAUACCGCAUACGUCCUACGGGAGAAAGCAGGGGAUCUUCGGACCUUGCGCUAAUAGAUGAGCCUAAGUCGGAUUAGCUAGUUGGUGGGGUAAAGGCCUACCAAGGCGACGAUCUGUAGCGGGUCUGAGAGGAUGAUCCGCCACACUGGGACUGAGACACGGCCCAGACUCCUACGGGAGGCAGCAGUGGGGAAUAUUGGACAAUGGGCGCAAGCCUGAUCCAGCCAUGCCGCGUGUGUGAAGAAGGCCUUAUGGUUGUAGAGCACUUUAAGCGAGGAGGAGGCUACUUUAGUUAAUACCUAGAGAUAGUGGACGUUACUCGCAGAAUAAGCACCGGCUAACUCUGUGCCAGCAGCCGCGGUAAUACAGAGGGUGCAAGCGUUAAUCGGAUUUACUGGGCGUAAAGCGCGCGUAGGCGGCUAAUUAAGUCAAAUGUGAAAUCCCCGAGCUUAACUUGGGAAUUGCAUUCGAUACUGGUUAGCUAGAGUGUGGGAGAGGAUGGUAGAAUUCCAGGUGUAGCGGUGAAAUGCGUAGAGAUCUGGAGGAAUACCGAUGGCGAAGGCAGCCAUCUGGCCUAACACUGACGCUGAGGUGCGAAAGCAUGGGGAGCAAACAGGAUUAGAUACCCUGGUAGUCCAUGCCGUAAACGAUGUCUACUAGCCGUUGGGGCCUUUGAGGCUUUAGUGGCGCAGCUAACGCGAUAAGUAGACCGCCUGGGGAGUACGGUCGCAAGACUAAACUCAAAUGAAUUGACGGGGGCCCGCACAAGCGGUGGAGCAUGUGGUUUAAUUCGAUGCAACGCGAAGAANCNUUACCUGGNNUUGACAUAGUAAGAACUUUCCAGANAUGGNUUGGUGCCUUCGGGAACUUACAUGCNG
rnacentral:rRNA from 1 species